GGCGUAGGCUGGAUGAUCGCGUUGGCUUAUAACCAGAUAGCUGAAAGAUCCUUCGGCGCUUUGCGCCUCAGGAUCAUCGGCAUAAAUUUUGGCACUAGGGCCGAUGAGGAAAGUCCGGGCUCCAAAGGGCAGCGUAGCGGGUAACGCCCGUCGUCACGCCCCUUAAAUAUACGCGUGAUAGGAUAAGAGCCACAGAGACGAGUUCCGCUGUUAAAAAUUCGGCGGAGGUGAAACGAGGUAAUCUCUACGCGGAGCAAGGCCAAAUAGGUCCGGCUGAAAGAGCUGCCCGCUCGUAAUAGCUGGACGGGUAGGUUGCAUGAUUCCGGCAGCAAUGCCGGGGCAUAGAUAGAUGAUCGUCGCAAUCAGCGCUUGGCGCUGAUUGACAGAACCCGGCUUACAGGCCUGCGCCUAUA
rnacentral:RNase_P_RNA from 1 species